AUGAGCUCAGGUGGUGCGUUUGGUGGAAACAGGGGUCUCCGUCCUGUGCCUCCGGAAAAGGGAGUUUUCCCAUUGGAUCACAUGCAUUUGUGUGACCUGGACAAGAAAGAAUAUCUCAAUUGUUUAAAAACUGCUGGAAGCAAGUCUGAAAUAUGCAGAGAAUUCUCAAAAAAAUAUUUGCUAUGUCGUAUGGAAAAGAACUUGAUGGCAAAACAAGAUUUGGCAGAACUUGGUUUUAAGGGAAGUAAUGCAGAAACUCCUGGAGGGAAAAUUCCUGAGAGGAUUGGGGAUCAAGACCAAUGA